rfam:Myotis lucifugus cont2.53636, whole genome shotgun sequence.
GGCGGUUCUCAGAUGAUGCACCCUGGAAUCGGGCUCCCUCUUCUCUGGUUCUGAGUGCAUCACCCAAGAACUGCC